rnacentral:lncRNA from 1 species
CUAAUUGCAUGGAUCGAUGCACAUGAUGUCCAUCACUGGAUUGUGUGGUCCAGACUUGAUUAUACAGACUGCUGUCACAUAGCUGGAAUAUUGCUAAGUUAAACAGCAAACAAACAAACAUUAUUGUCUGAAACAAAAGACUGUUUCUAUAACUUGAAUAAAGGUCAGUAAAUGGUAUGAUCCAAAAUCAGGUCACCUUGUCAAUUCUUGGAGUAAAUUGACCAAUUUUAAAAUUUUACAUUUUGAUAUUUAUUUUUAAUUAUGGUCUAAAACUAAAGCCUUUCUAAAGGUCUCUGAAACUUGAAUAAAGGUCAGAAAAUGGUAUGAUCCAAAGUCAGGUCACCUUGUCAAUUCAUGGAGUAAAUUGACCGAUUUUAUAAUUCUACAUUUUGAUAUUUAUUUGUCUUUAUGGUCUAAAGGCCAUUCUAAUGGUCUCUGAAACUUGAAUAAAGGCCAUUAAAUGGUAUGAUCCAAAAUCAGGUCACCUUGUCAAUGCAUGGUGUAAACUGACCAAUUUUUAAAUUUUUAUGUUUUGAAAUUUAUUUGUCAUUAUGGUCUAAAACAAAAGCCAUUAUGAAGGUCUCUGAAAAUUGAAUAAAGACCAGUAAAUGGUAUGAUCCAAAAUCAGGUCACCUUGUCAAUUCAUGGAAUAAAAUGACCGAUUUUAUAAUUCUACAUUUUGAUAUUUAUUUGUCUUUAUGGUCUAAAGGCCAUUCUAACGGUCUCUGAAACUUGAAUAAAGGUAAAAAAAAUGGUAUGAUCCAAAGUCAGGUCACCUUGUCAAUUCAUGGAGUAAAUUGACCGAUUUUAUAAUUCUACAUUUUGAUAUUUAUUUGUCAUUAUGGUCUAAAACAAAAGCUGAUCUAAAACAAAAGCCUUUCUAAAGUUCUCUGAAACUUCAAUAAAGGUCAGUAAAUGGUAUUAGCCAAAGUCAGGUCACCUUGUCAAUUCAUGGAAUAAAUUGACCGAUUUUAUAAUUCUACAUUUUGAUAUUUAUUUGUCUUUAUGGCCUUAAGGCCAUCCUAACGGUCUCUGAAACUUGAAUAAAGGUAAAAAAAAUGGUAUGAUUCAAAGUCAGGUCACCUUGUCAAUUCAUGGAGUAAAUUGACCGAUUUUAUAAUUCUACAUUUUGAUAUUUAUUUGUCUUUAUGGUCUAAAGGCCAUUCUAACGGUCUCUGAAACUUGAAUAAAGGUCAGAAAAUGGUAUGAUCCAAAGUCAGGUCACCUUGUCAAUUCGUUGAGUAAAUUGACCGAUUUUAUAAUUCUACAUUUUGAUAUUUAUUUGUCUUUAUGGUCUAAAGGCCAUUCUAACGGUCUCUGAAACUUGAAUAAAGGUCAGUAAAUGGUAUGAUCCAAAAUCAGGUCACCUUGUCAAUGCAUGGUGUAAACUGACCAAUUUUUAAAUUUUUAUGUUUUGAAAUUUAUUUGUCAUUAUGGUCUAAAACAAAAGCCAUUAUGAAGGUCUCUGAAAAUUGAAUAAAGACCAGUAAAUGGUAUGAUCCAAAAUCAGGUCACCUUGUCAAUUCAUGGAAUAAAAUGACCGAUUUUAUAAUUCUACAUUUUGAUAUUUAUUUGUCUUUAUGGUCUAAAGGCCAUUCUAACGGUCUCUGAAACUUGAAUAAAGGUCAGAAAAUGGUAUGAUCCAAAGUCAGGUCACCUUGUCAAUUCAUGGAGUAAAUUGACCGAUUUUAUAAUUCUAAAUUUUGAUAUUUAUUUGUCUUUAUGGUCUAAAGGCCAUUCUAACGGUCUCUGAAACUUGAAUAAAGGCCAGAAAAUGGUAUGAUCCAAAGUCAGGUCACCUUGUCAAUUCAUGGAGUAAAUUGACCGAUUUUAUAAUUCUACAUUUUGAUAUUUAUUUGUCAUUAUGGUCUAAAACAAAAGCUGAUCUAAAACAAAAGCCUUUCUAAAGUUCUCUGAAACUUCAAUAAAGGUCAGUAAAUGGUAUUAGCCAAAGUCAGGUCACCUUGUCAAUUCAUGGAAUAAAUUGACCGAUUUUAUAAUUCUACAUUUUGAUAUUUAUUUGUCUUUAUGGCCUUAAGGCCAUCCUAACGGUCUCUGAAACUUGAAUAAAGGCCAUUAAAUGGUAUGAUCCAAAAUCAGGUCACCUUGUCAAUGCAUGGUGUAAACUGACCAAUUUUUAAAUUUUUAUGUUUUGAAAUUUAUUUGUCAUUAUGGUCUAAAACAAAAGCCAUUAUGAAGGUCUCUGAAAAUUGAAUAAAGACCAGUAAAUGGUAUGAUUCAAAAUCAGGUCACCUUGUCAAUUCACGGCCGAUUUUAUAAUUCUACAUUUUGAUAUUUAUUUGUCUUUAUGGUCUAAAGGCCAUCCUAACGGUCUCUGAAACUUGAAUAAAGGUAAAAAAAAUGGUAUGAUUCAAAGUCAGGUCACCUUGUCAAUUCAUGGAGUAAAUUGACCGAUUUUAUAAUUCUACAUUUUGAUAUUUAUUUGUCUUUAUGGUCUAAAGGCCAUCCUAACGGUCUGUGAAACUUGAAUAAAGGCCAGUAAAUGGUAUGAUCCAAAAUCAGGUCACCUUGUCAAUUCAUGGAGUAAAUUGACCAAUUUUAAAAUUUUAUAUUUUGAUAUUUAUUUGUCAUUAUGGUCUAAAACAAAAGCUGAUCUAAAACAAAAGCCUUUCUAAAGUUCUCUGAAACUUGAAUAAAGGCCAGUAAAUGGUAUCAGCCAAAGUCAGGUCAUCUUGUCGAUUCACUGAGUAAAAGGACCCAUUUUGAAAUUGUACGUUCGGGCAUUUGUCAUUCAGUUCUAAAACAAAAUAUAUCCAAAGGUAUAGGUCAGUAAAUGUUAUUAUCCAAGUCAAAUUUCCACUCAUACACAAUGCUUAUUCAGCUGUGCAGAUCACUUGGUCACUUCUCUCGACUACAUAAUCAAGAGUCAUUGUUAAAGGUGAGGCGUUUCCCAUAUCACAGUGUAUCACAAUCUAGGUCUAUCUAGUGGUUGGGAUGUAAUCACCAAGGGGGCUGGCCAUUCUCAACAUGAUCAAUGCAAUAUACUGUGUAAUAUGUUAAUGAUGUAUUUCCAUGUUGCCAAAAUACCAUCCAGAUAACACUGAACCUCUUGGUGAGUGUGUGUUGAAGGUGGAUGCUGAAUGAGUGCUGCAGCACAUCUUGUUAUGUUAAUUUUGGUAGCCCAGGAAUAAAAUACUGGUGAUUCAUUA